AUUAACAAGCUAGCAUUUCCUUAGAAAGUAAUACUAUCAAAGUAUAACACAUACGACUGUAAUUUUAUAACAGCAAAUGCACAUCAUAUACAAAACAAUAACAUAGACAUUGAGUUAACAUAAAUUUAUAAGUUAUGAAGAGAACAUAAUUAUGUAGAAUAUAUACUCUAGUGUGUGUAAGAAUAUAGACCACAGAUACAAAUAUAUUCACCUUUGUUCUAAAUAUUUAUCUCUACUACACUGUGCAUGGCAAUGUCAUAUGGCCCAAAACUAAUAAAAUGUGCCGAUAUAAACACUUGCAGAGAUUAAAAAAAACUGAAACAUGCCAAGAAUGAAAGAAGGAAAAUGAAUUUGUAUUAUACUAUUAUAUACUUGUAGUAGGAACGAGGGUAACUGAAAUACAAGAUGCACUUUCAAAACCAAGUCUUCCUAAUUUGAAGCAAGGUUACAGCUACCGCAAUAGCUACAACUUGUCCUUCUGCAAUGGAACGAGCCACAUGGAACUAAUCAAAUCUACAAACCAGAUAAUAAUGAAGCACAAUCCAAAAUCCAUAUAAAAUUCAAAACACUAUGUUUUGUACAACUCAAAACAGAUCAUCCUACAUCCAUAUAAUCUUACUGGUAACUUUUCUUUGCUUAUAACAUUACAAAGCAUAUGGAAUGAAAACCCCAUAAUCGAUCAUAUACCUUGACAGCUAAACCCUAAACUGAACAAGAAUUGAGCAUUAUAUUAUAAGAGAACAUGUUUGUCCUUACUCAGUAGAUUGAUUCACACACAAGAACAAAUCUACACACAACAAAUUGAACACUAAAUUGAAAUAAUAAAACAGUAAAACGAAAUUCAUAAACAAAUCUACACACAACAAACUGAACACUAAAUUGAAAUAAUAAAACAGUAAAACGAAAUUCAUAAACAAAUCUACACACAACAAAAUGAACACUAAAUUGAAAUACCCAAACAGUAAAAUGAAUCUCAUAAUUUGACAUACCCAAACACUAAAUUCAUAAACAAUAGAACCUUAACAAACACCAAAUUGAAAUACCCAACCACAAAAUUGCAAAAUCGAAAUAGGUUUUCCUUCAGAAAUUGAAAAACAAGG
rnacentral:lncRNA from 1 species